GUACCUGGCUUUGUCAUACUGUAUGUGGCUGGAUGCCUGGAAGCAGGGCUCCAGGACCAGACUGUCAUUACAGCUCCAUCUGCUCCAUGAAAUUGGGCUCGGUGUGCAUUAAUCUAAGCAGGUGGAAACAAAAGACUUUAUCUCCUGAUGAAAUCACUGCUCCCAGAGUUAAUCUCAUUCGAACACUUACUCAAAAUCUAGCCCGCAGAGAGCGUGCUGCAGGCUGAUGGAAGCCUGCUGGAUACAGAAUCGAGGUUGAUUCUUCUGGACCACCUUCAUCAUUAAUUCAUCUGCUUGAGAAUUCAUUCAUCUUUAUUUCACCAUUACCUAAUGAGCCUAAUGGAGACCAUCGGAAUCCAAAGGCUAAGCAUUUUUUUUUAAAGUGAGUAUUUGAUAAUUGUUAAUUAAUAAUAAUGUCAACAAUAACCUUAAUUUUCUAGGUAUUCCCCCCGAGGGAUUUACAUUUUAAUUAUACUUGCCAUAGGACAAGUAUAAUGACCCCCGGAAUUAAGCUUUGGUUUACAGUUUUUAAAUCACUGGAGUAAGGAGAAGCUAUCUUCAUGUAAAAAUAAUCAGACUUUUUUUUUUUUGAAGAGCCUCAAAUGGCAGAGAUGAAGAGAGAAUAAAUACAGCUGAUGAGAUUUAGUGUGACAUCAGUAAUUCUCAAAGGGACACCGCACCAUAGAGUCUGCUGUGUGGAUGUUUCCCACUCUUCUGGAGGUGACAGGCCUGACCUGUCAGGUACUAGUAACACCCAGGACAGACUAGAAAUGUCACAAACUACUAACAGCUACUACACAUGAUGUAAAAGGAUGUGUCUAAAAAGAGGUUGCUCUUCAAAACUGGCUUAAACCUGUUUCGAAGUUCUAACCCAUCCUCCUGGCUUAUGGAAACUGGAAUUAGUUUACAAAAAUUUCUAAACAAAAAUCAAACAUGGGGGCUGGGGAUGUGGCUCAAGCGAUAGUGUGCUCGCCUGGGAUGCACACAGCGCUGGAUUCGAUCCUCAGCACCACAUAAAAAUAAAGAUGUUGUGUCUGCCGAAAACUA
rnacentral:lncRNA from 1 species